UUUGGGAGGACAUCUAGCGAUAACAGGUGAUGAUCACAAAUAUUUCUGUGCUGACAAGAGGCCAUGAAGCCCUUAAGGAUCUGAUGAAAACAACAAAUCUCUGCCCCAGUAAAAGAUGUUUUCUAGAAGCAAAAUCAUGGCCUGGUCAAAGGCCAUGAAUGGUUUCGAGGCAGAGUCGUUUCUGAAAGUGACUACCCACUUGCUGGUAGUACUCAUGUUAGAAGAGACUACAUCGUGCUGCCUCCUUCCUCCUUCCUCGUUUCCAUUCUUGGAAGUCAAAAGGAAGCCUUAGAACAAUCAUCAACAGCCACUUUCAGCAAAAGCAGACAUGGAUUCUGUAGACUUCUUCCCGUCUAACACCCUCAGGAACAGCAAGUGUGCUGCAGGCAUCUUGUGCCCACCCCGCAAGCUAUCGGGGCACUUCCUGUCUUCUGGUAGUUAUGGUGGGGAUUGAACCAAGGCCUGUGCAAGCUGAGCAAGUGUUUCAGUGCUGAGCUACACCUCCUCCCCUUUUGUUUGUUUACUUGUUUUUUUGGAGGGCUUAUUGGUGUGUGUGUUUAUUAAACAUAAAGGUGCUGAGUCUUUGGUACCCUGUGUGGUAAGGCUGUCUGGGGCCCGCUUGCUCUGUGUUGGCAGUGACUCCUGAACUGCCUGCCUCUGACUUGGUUAGAAGCAGAUCAGAAAUGGAAUCUCUCCCCCAGGUGCAGAAGCAGAUCUCUUGGGUGUGUUAGGGUC